UAGCUGUUUUUAUGUUUUAUUUUUAUUUAAAAUUAGUUUACUUUAUUUUUAUUUUUGCUUAAAAUAUUUCUUUUUUUAAAGAAGUUCCUUUUCUUGGUUAAGAACCCUGGACCUUUCUGCUCUGCGGAUCUGUGCAGGCGUUCAGCUGAAUCUGAAAUGACAAAGACUCAUUUCAUCUACGGGUACGUGUGAAAGAAGCCUCAAAGACUGGCUCAGGAACCACAGAGGCUCCCUUUGCGCUCAAGCCGAGUGUGUCCCAAAGCACUAGGUGAAUAAGUAAAUGAGUGAAAUUCUGGACCCACUGAAGGCAGUUGAAAAGCAUCAGUAGGAUGAAUACUUCACCUUUAAAGAUUUAGGUAAAGCAACUGAUAGUCAAGUCACUUACACUGUUUUUUUCAGAUGCGUUGUGGGGUUAAUUGCUUGUUGUUGCUAAAUGCUUCCUUUUCUAACUUGUCAAGUAAUUUAAAUAUCCUUUAUUUCACCCAGAUAAUUCCACAUGAUAGCUAGUUAUUUUAUCUCUGUCUCUGUUUUUUGACCAACUGACACUUGGUGUGUCAGCUGUCUUCAAAACUUCACUGUCAGAUCUAGUUCAUGCUUGACUCAAAAUUACACCUGCUUACUCUUGCCUAAAUUUGGCCCAUUGGUUAUGGCAGAAGUGUACACAUACACAACAGUAAACAAUUUUCUGUUAUCAUUAGCAUUGCUUAAGCAUAAACCAGAAGCGCCAAGACAAAUAAAAAUGCUAUCUCAGGCUGGCAAAUGUUCCAUAUCUCCUGCCCACAGAGCACAGUCUGUGGAGAGUUGGUGAUGUCAAAACUGCAGCACCCUUGGGCUGCCAGAUAGAAGAUUGGUAGAGAGCAAGUGGGAGUGAAACAGAGAGAAUGAAAGUGCCUCAGGGGAUAGAGGAUGAGAAGAAGUAGAUGAUAUAACAACUUCUAGAGACUUGCGAGCUUCAGAAGAAGCUGCUAACACUGUAUAGAACAGUGUACAGUAUAGAACAUAAGUGUACAUGCAUUAACAAAACUUCCGAAUGAUACAGGGUUGCACACCGGUGGUUCAGAGGUAGGGUGACUUUACAAAAAGAGAAGGGCAGAUGCAGUUUUUUUUAAUCAGGCCAGAGUAGGCUUUUGUAACAAACUAGUUUGAUGACUGGCUGCUGCUGCCGCAAAAAACAGUUUGAUUUUGGAAGGAGAUGAGUUUCUGAUGCACUUUUUACAGCCUUGCAAUUGAAAACUUGUCUGUUAUUGCCUGGGUCUGAUUGUUUAAUUUGCUGAACAAACCUUUACAUUCACAUUAUUUCAAGUACCUAACUAUGUUCACAUAGACUUAGUUCAGUUAAAGAUAGGAGAAACUUGUGAAGACACCCAGCAAGUGAUUGGGGGCAUAAACAUUUUAUCAUGAAUCAGCAGAAGACAAGCUGAAGAUAAAAUGCAGUGCUCAAGGGGCAGAAGACUAUGCUAAAUAUUAUGAAGAAUAUCAGUAUAACCUUUCCAGGUUCUUGAGGAUCUUUGUAUCAGUUUCUUUUGUGAUAAGGAUUAAAAGGCGAGUGGUAUUUAGUAUUCGUGUGUAUAUGUGUGUUAGGAAGGGGGUUGUUUUGUGUGUGAGGUUUUUUUCAAUACACAGAAAGUACAAAGACUUUCUGAUAACAUUGGCUCCCUUGGAAGUGGGUGUGAGACCUUUAAUAUUGCUUCUGUAUAUGUACAUGGCUUUGCUGCUGCUCAUGUGGAAUGCAGGUAAGAGAAAAUGUGUCACUCUGUCAACAAGAGACUUCUGUUCUGGAUCGCUUUGUAAAAUGAAAGAUGAAGGAAACCAUUUCCAUGCUCUGAUUCUGCUUUAACAAUGGCCUUGUUUUGUAUUUGAGACUGUGUGAAGUAUUUGUUGACAAUCAGGCGUCAGGUUUUAGGGCAAAAUGUGUUCUUACCUAGUUAAAGACUACAGGAGCCGCAGCCCCACCGUAUGUAGAUUUUUCUCUCAGUAAUGCAGACAGAAGGCUUAGCACUGCAUUUGCUGAAGGUUAAAUGGACCUCAGAUGGAUGCAGGAGUGGAAAAUUGUCGGGUUCUUCUGCCACAGCUGAUGUGAAUGUAAGGUGGUUCACGGCGUGACACUGGGGAACAUAAGUCAGGCUUGAGGUAACUAUAGGCGGAGUGCACACAUAAAAAUUGCUUGGCUUGAGUUUAGAAGAAACAGGGGUGGAUAUGAGCUGCAAAAAAGGCAAAGCAAGCUGAGGCAAAUUAACCCCUGUGGUAUCAUGGACAAUGUCAUCUGUGACCACAGAUUUGAUUUGGUCAGUUUAGCCUUUGUCUUAGGAUGGGAACUUCUGUGAACGAUAUAGCAGACCGAUCUACUGAAGUUGUCCCCACAGUAACAAUAAUUUCGAGGUGUUUCUUAGCUUGAAUAAGCAUUACAGGCAACACUUGUAUUGCAUCUCACAUGACAGAGGCUAUGCUACUUUCAUCAUUUAACCUCUUGCUGAUGGUGGCUUGUACAGGAAUGGAUUCUUUGUGCAGCUCCCUGCUGCAACCUGCAGUGUGUGACACAACUGGUGCUAAAAUCCCUGUGACUAAAAGCCGGUCGAAGGGCUGCGGUGAUGGGAAGAGGAGAGAGGUACUUACCCCACCUACCUUACGUACCUGUUGGACUACAAAAGAGUCUUUUUCUGAAAGGGCUUAUCUCGCUCCGCUCGCUACAGAGAGAGCUUAGGCACCUGGCUUAAAAGGUGGUCAGCUUUCAGAUGGCUGAAGUUCGGCCAGACAAAUUCCACUAUGAGUGGUGGCAUUUAUUUUGUUUGUUCACAGUUAACGUGUGUUCUGUUCCCUUGAAAAGGGUGUUGCUGGUCUGCAAAAGGAGGAAGGCGCUUGCUUGCCUGGUUCUGGCUGCUGCCUUCUGAAUCAGUUGGCACCCUUGAGGGGGAAGAGAGACCAUGUCUUUCAUGAGAGCAGCUGGGCUUGGAGAGCUGGAGAGGGAAGAAGCUUCAUGAGUGCAGGGUGGGGAAGGCAGAGGGGAAGAGACAAAGUCAAUAUAAAACUUUCAGCAAGGGUAACGAAUGAUGGGUGCUGAGAAGAGCAGGGAGUGAACACACAUUCAGGCCUCAGAUGGUGAAGGAAAACAAGAUUUUUUUCCUGGGGCUUAGAGGGGACUGUUCAGAGUUUGUCGUAGUCUAUUAUAUGCAGCCCUUUAUAUUCUGUCUGAAUAUAAGAAAAAAACUUUUUACUUUGGGGGUGACUGAGCACUGGAAGAGGUUGCCCAGAGAGGUUGUGGAGUUUCCAUCCUUGGGGCAACUUGCUCUAGGUAACCCUGGUUGAUCAGAGGUUUUGGACUACAUGUCUCCGGAGGUCUCUUCCAACCUCAGCUAUUCUGUGAUUCUGAAAAAGUCCUCAAAAUGCUGCUGGCAUGAGAGCAAACCUAAGAGAAACAACCUGCCUUGGGAGUGCACCAUGAGUAGAGGAGUUUGAUCACAAACCUGUUUAUUUUUAUUUUGCUUUCCUCAAGAGAACUAGUAACAUAUUUUAAAGGUUCUCUCGUUCUAGUUAAUGUUCAGAUAGAACACAGUUUUACACUGUAAAAGCUCCUGUGUGUAUUUUUGGUCAAUUUGGAGUUUGUUAUGCCAUUUCUCACUGGAGCAAGAGGGAAUGGUUGCUGCACAGAGUCAAUGGUUGCCUCUUUGGCUUUUCUUUCGAUGCCAUCUAAGCAACAACAAAGUACACACACAUAUUUAAGAACAGUAAUACAUCUGUCUUUCUAGAUACUCAAUCAAAUAUUCAAGGCAGAGACUUUAGAAAACAUCUGGCCAGAUUUACUUGAAAUCUGCAGUUUUGGCUGAAAUACGAGUUACUGUUCUUUGUAAUUUUCUGUCCAGCCCAUGAAAUAUCAGCUGUUUUAAGGAAAAGUGGUUAACAGCUUUUCUUAUGAAGCAGGUUUAUGAUUUUUCUAUCUGAUUUUGACAUAUGACUCUGCUGAAAGUAACGGGGACAUUUUUGUUUACCUUUGUUCUUGUAGAAAUAGAAAGAUUUUAGAUUGUGCGAAGUAUUUUAUAGAGGCAGUAUUACACAGUGAACUGUUACAGAGUGGAGAGAAACAUGAAAUAUAUGGAUCUGAAGCUUGUGUAGGCCAAAAUUCUUCAAAGGGCUAGCUGUAGAUCAAAGCCCAGCCUGUAAUGUGUGAUCAAAUAGUCUGCUGAAUGAGACCAAAGAGGAGGAAGCCUUUUGGUUCAGCAGCCCUGGUUUGAUUUGCCCCAGAGAUGUGCUCUUCAUAUGAGACAGGAGUUUGUGGCAUCCUCACUUGCAUAUGGGCAUGUAGUUCCUGCACACACAUGCUCUUCUCCUCUCAUACAUCUGGUAGAGCUCUAGCUGCUCUUAAUUCAUCCUUCCUCACACCUUGCAUUUGGCUUCUCUCAAAAAGUUAUUGAAAACUAUAGAUGCAAAAAAAGGCUCCUGAAACUAGGCUCAGCAGAAAACUUAAACAAACAAACAAACAAACAAACAAACAAAAGCACCUUGAUAUGUUUACAUCUCUUUGUUGUUGUAGUAGAGGCCCUAUAAAUAAAACAUUCAGGAAGUGUCCUGUUAAUGGAGCAGAGGAAUGUAUUUUAAGAUGUGCUGUGUUCUGUAGGGAUCUCCCUUCCCCUUCCCUGAAAUAUUCCCAAGACUUCCAACCAUAUAUAUACAUACACAACUAUAUACGGUCCAUACAUCUCUUUGUAUGUUCUUCCUUCUACACAGGUGCCUUGUUCCCUGCCUAGGCUUCCUCAGUGGUGUAAUAAGAAAGAAAAGGAAUAGGAAAACUUUAGAAUUGAUGAUUCUGUGUCCUUUUAAGGCUGCAUGAAUAUAAGCAGAGACCGCCUUCUCUCUUGUCCUGUUUAUUCACUGAUGGCAGGAGAGGUUUAUUUAGAUUCUUAUUUGGCAGGUGCUAACCAAAUAAAGUGUUGCAGAAGCUACUACCUUCAUGUACUUCUGAUCUAAUCCAAGUCCAGGCAGAAGAGAAUCAAUUUAUUUUUGUGCAAGAUAAGUGAUGAGUUUCAGGAGUGCAGGCGAACGUGUAGCAACUUGUGUGAAGAAAAAAAAAUGUGGGGGAGAACAGGAGAUCAAAAUAGGAGCUUUCGCCAAUGUUAGAAGAAGAAGAAAAAUGAGGAAGAAAAAAGUUUUGAAAUCAGAGCUUAGGGCAGAUGACAAAACAGGAAGCCAUAGCUGCUCUUACAGAAGGAGAGAGAAAAAAAAGAGGAUUUGAUGAGGAAGAUGGGUCAAGGGAAAAUUUGGGAAAGAUUCAUAAGCCAUAUUUUGUUACCUGUGGGAGAAAGGAACAGUUUCAGCAACGGUGUUUGAUGGAUGGGAGAUAAACACAAUAUGAAACACCAAGCUUCACCCUUUGAGAUCUGAGUUUGUUUUUGCUAAAGUACUAGCAAAGGUUCUGUAGCCACAAGAUUUUUUUCUAGUAUGUCUAAACUGUCCUUAAAAGAAUUGAAAGCCUAAUGCUAUUGCCAGCUUCCUGGCAGCUAAUUGUUACUGGAAUCAACAGUUGUUUCAAGCAAAGACUUAAGUGUCAAACAGCCAUAGCUAACUGGUGUGUGACUUUUUUUUCCCCAGCAGGCUUUCUUCUUGCCAGCCUUCAAUGAAGACCAUGUAGAGGUUUUCCUGUGCUGGAACUUUCUUUCUUUCUUCCUUUCUACCUCUUGAACUUUCCUCUGAAGUGAAAGUUGGUUGAUGUAGAGAGUAUCUUUUUCAAAUGUCCCUGGAAUCCAUAUCUGAAAAGCCUGUGUAACCUGUGACAUACGCAGAGUAAGAAUGGGAAACCGAAACUUCUCAAAGCAUGGUUUGAGUUAGACAAACUCCAACCAUUAAAGCAGUUUAAUUGCCUUUCAAGUGGGUAUUAGGUAAUAGAUCACCAUACUUACUAAUUGUUAUUAAGGGAAAAAAAUCCAGGACUCUGUGGAAAUAGGGCUUGCUGGGCUGAGAGAAGACCUUGCCCUUAAAAUCAAAUUGUCUUAGUUUAGAAAUGAGACAUGACAAGUGGAUGAAGCUGGAGAGUGGCUCAAGGGUAUCGUCAGAUAACCUCUUGUGAGGUUCUUUUGUACUGGAUUAAGACUUCCAUUGCCAUGCCAGGGGGAAAGCAUGCAUCAUGCAAGUGGUUCUCAGGUGUACCUGUGCAAAGUUGCCCGGCUCAGCCAAAAGCCACUGCUGGCUGAAGUUGCUUUGAACCGGACUGACACUGAAAGUUAAGAAGUGCUUGAACAAUCCAGUUUGGUCACUUGGCCGUGGGGGCAGUACCCUCUAGCUGUGACACUGAAACAAGCAUCUGGGAGUGGCACAGUGAAACUGCAAUGGCUGCUUCAGAAGUGAUUAUACCCUAGUGUAUAUGUGUCUUUUCAGAGACCUCCUGAUGUAGACUCUGUUGGUAAGGAAGAGUACUUUUGUUCAGUAGCUGCAAUCUGAGCUUGUCACCAGUCUGUGCCCUCUCAGCUAGUGUUGCUCAGUAUGCACUCGCAAAAGGAGAGAGAAUGUCAAUGGGUUUUAAGGAGGAAAAAACGGGCUAAUGGCAUCUCCACUUCAUUUUAAGAGUAGGCAUAUCUUGCAUGAGGUUGACUUGAAAGAAAGCUCCAGGGUGUUAGAAGGAGAGGUCAACAAGGUGUAACAUGGUUGGCGUAGGAAAAAAGGACAGAAGGCAACGCUGCAAGGUGAGACUGCAGAGAGGUACGGCGGGAUUGCAUUACAUCCCAAAGAAAAGAGCAUAGUGGAGGGGAGAGCCAAUCAAGGCAGCCCUCUGAGAUAGAAGAUGGGAGAUUUGCCAUGGAAAAGAGGUAGGAGUGAAGGUUGUCUCAGAAUCUGAAUGGUAUGUGGUGUAAUAAUAUAAAACGUACUGUGAGAGGCCAAGAAGUUUGGCCCCAUAGAUGAAGAGGGUUGAAAUUUCAUCUUCAAAGAACAGGACAAGAUG